rnacentral:rRNA from 1 species
AUUGAACGCUGGCGGCAGGCCUAACACAUGCAAGUCGAACGAGUGGCGGACGGGUGAGUAAUGUCUGGGAAUCUGCCUGAUGGAGGGGGAUAACUACUGGAAACGGUAGCUAAUACCGCAUACCAUCAGAUGUGCCCAUAUGGGAUUAGCUAGUUGGUGGGGUAAAGGCUCACCAAGGCGACGAUCCCUAGCUGGGCUGAGAGGAUGACCAGCCACACUGGAACUGAGACACGGCCCAGACUCCGACGGGAGGCAGCAGUGGGGAAUAGUGCACAAUGGGCGCAAGCCUGAUGCAGCCAUGCCGCGUGUAUGAAGAAGGCCUUAGGGUUGUAAAGUACUUUCAGCGGGGAGGCGUUACCCGCAGAAGAAGCACCGGCUAACUCCGUGCCAGCAGCCGCGGUAAUUC